AAUGCGUUUUGAGAUGGUCCUGCGGCCUAUCAGUUAGUUGGUAGGGUAACGGCCUACCAAGACUAUAACGGGUAUCCGACCUGAAAGGGCGAACGGACACACUGGAACUGAGACACGGUCCAGACUCCUACGGGAGGCAGCAGUGGGGAAUUUUGGACAAUGGGGGAAACCCUGAUCCAGCGACGCCGCGUGGAGGACGAAGGCUUUCGAGUUGUAAACUCCUUUUAGAGGGAAAGAAAAAAAUGACGGUACCCUCAGAAAAAGCCACGGCUAACUACGUGCCAGCAGCCGCGGUAAUACGUAGGUGGCGAGCGUUACUCGGAAUUACUAGGCGUAAAGCGUAUGUAGGCGGUUAGAUAAGUCUUUAGUGAAAUUUCUUGGCUCAACUGAGAAUAGUCUAAGGAUACUGUUUAACUUGAGUUUGGGAGAGGGAGACGGAAUUCCUGGUGUAGCGGUGAAAUGCUUAGAUAUCAGGAGGAACACCAAUGGCGAAAGCAGUCUCCUGGCCUAACACUGACGUUAAUGUACGAAAGCUAGGGUAGCAAACAGGAUUAGAUACCCUGGUAGUCCUAGCUGUAAACGAUGUUCACUAGAUGUGGGAGGUAUUGACCCCUUCUGUGUCGACGCUAACGCAUUAAGUGAACCGCCUGGGGAGUACGACCGCAAGGUUGAAACUCAAAAGAAUUGACGGGGGUCCGCACAAGCGGUGGAAUAUGUGGUUUAAUUCGACGCACCACGAAAAACCUUACCUGGGCUUGAACUGCUAAUAGUAAGAGCCGGAAACGGCGAUGAUCCGCAAGGAAGUUAGUAGAGGUGCUGCAUGGCUGUCGUCAGCUCGUGUCGUGAGAUGUUGGGUUAAGUCCCGCAACGAGCGCAACCCUUAUCCCAUGUUACCUGUAGAAAUACAGGGUCUCUGAGGAAACUGCCAUUGAUAAAAUGGAGGAAGGUGGGGACGAAGUCAAGUCAUCAUGGUCUUUAUGUCCAGGGCUACACACGUAUUACAAUGGACGGUACAGAGGGUGGCAAUACCGUAAGGUGGAGCAAAUCCCUAAAGCCGUCCUCAGUUCGGAUUGUGGGCUGCAAUUCGUCCACAUGAAGUAGGAAUC
rnacentral:rRNA from 1 species